UACGGGGGGGGCAAGCGUUGUUCGGAAUUACUGGGCGUAAAGGGCUCGUAGGCGGCCAACUAAGUCGGAUGUGAAAUCCCCAAGCUUAACUUGGGAACUGCAUCCGAUACUGGAUGGCUUGAAUCCGGGAGAGGGAUGCGGAAUUCCAGGUGUAGCGGUGAAAUGCGUAAAUAUCUGGAGGAACACCGGUGGCGAAGGCGGCAUCCUGGACCGGCAUUGACGCUGAGGCGCGAAAGCCAGGGGAGCAAACGGG
rnacentral:rRNA from 1 species